rnacentral:rRNA from 1 species
UGCAUACUGAUGGCACUUGACGGUACCUAACAGAAGCACGGUACUACGGCCAGCAGCCGCGGUAAUACGUAGGUGGCAAGCGUUGUCCGGAAUUAUUGGGCGUAAAGCGCUCGCAGGCGGUUCUUUAAGUCUGAUGUGAAAUCUUACGGCUCAACCGUAAACGUGCAUUGGAAACUGGGGAACUUGAGUGCAGAAGAGGAGAGUGGAAUUCCACGUGUAGCGGUGAAAUGCGUAGAGAUGUGGAGGAACACCAGUGGCGAAGGCGACUCUCUGGUCUGUAACUGACGCUGAGGAGCGAAAGCGUGGGGAGCGAACAGGAUUAGAUACCCUGGUAGUCCACGCCGUAAACGAUGAGUGCUAGGUGUUAGGGGGUUUCCGCCCCUUAGUGCUGAAGUUAACGCAUUAAGCACUCCGCCUGGGGAGUACGGCCGCAAGGCUGAAACUCAAAAGAAUUGACGGGGGCCCGCACAAGCGGUGGAGCAUUGUGGUUUAAUUUCGAAGCAACGCGAAGAACCUUACCAGGUCUUGACAUCCUCUGAACACUCUAG